rnacentral:rRNA from 1 species
AGAGUUUGAUACUGGCUCGAUGAACGCUGCGGCAGCUUAACACUGCAAGUCGAGGGGCUCAUACCCGCAAUGGGUGAUGGCGACCGGCGGAGGGUGCGUAACCGCGUGAGCAACAUACCCUAUACAGGGGGAUAAGCCAGGGAACUUGGUCUAAUAUCCCAUAGGAAAUAAUAAGGCAUCUUAUUUAUUUUAAAGCUUCGGUGGUAUAGGAUUGGCUCGCGUGACAUUAUCUAGAUGGAGGGGUAACGGCCCACCAUGGCAAUGAUGUCUAGGGGUUCUGAGAGGAAGAUCCCCCCCUGGGACUGAACACGGCCCUACUCCUACGGGAGGCACGUGAGGAAUAUUGGACAAUGGAUGGAAAUCUGAUCCAGCCAUGCCGCGUGCAGAAUACGGCCCUAGGGUUGAAACUGCUUUUAUACGGAACAAUAAGGCUAUGCAUAAAUUGAUGAAGUACCCGUAUGAAUAAACAUCGGGCUAAACUCCGGUGCCCCCCCGCGUUAUACCGAGAUGCCGAGCUUUAUCCGGAAUUUUUUGGGUUUAAGGGUGCGUUAGGCGGCUUUGUAAGUCAGCGGUGAAAUUUUGCAGCUUAACUGUAAAAGCGCCGUUGAUACUGUGAAGCUAGGAUUUGGUUGCUGUGGGCGGAAUGUGUGGUGUAGCGGUGAAAUGCAUAGAGAUCACACAGAAUAUCGAUUGCGAAGGCAGCUCACAAAGCCAAUAUUGACGCUGAGGCACGAAAGUGUGGGGAUCAAACAGGAUUAGAUACCCUGGUAGUCCACACUGUAAACGAUGAUAACUCGCUGUCGGCGAUAGACCGUCGGUGGCCAAGCGAAAGCGAUAAGUUAUCCACCUGGGGAGUACGACCGCAAGGUUGAAACUCAAAGGAAUUGACGGGGGCCCGCACAAGCGGAGGAACAUGUGGUUUAAUUCGAUGAUACGCGAGGAACCUUACCCGGGCUCGAACGGUGCAUGAAUAAUACAGAGAUGGAUUAGUCCUUCGGGACAUGUAUCGAGGUGCUGCAUGGUU